CUGAACAAGAGCGUCGUGACCCUCCCCGCCACCCUCCAGGAGACCUCUGGCCUCUACACCACCACCAGCCACGUGACCGUCUCGGGCGAGUGGGCCAAACAGAAGUUCACCUGCAGUGUGGCUCACGCGGAGUCCCCCACCAUCAACAAGACCGUCAGUGCGUGUACCAUGAACUUCAUUCCCCCCACCGUGAAGCUCUUCCACUCCUCGUGUAACCCCCUCGGUGACACCGGUAGCACCAUCCAGCUCCUGUGCCUCAUCUCCGGCUACGUCCCAGGUGACAUGGAGGUCACCUGGCUGGUGGAUGGGCAGAAGGCCACGAACAUAUUCCCAUACACUGCCCCCGGCAAGCAGGAGGGCAAGGUGACCUCCACCCACAGCGAGCUCAACAUCACGCAGGGUGAGUGGGUGUCCCAAAAGACCUACACUUGCCAGGUCACCUAUCAAGGCUUCACCUUUGAGGACCACGCUCGCAAGUGCACAGAGUCUGACCCCCGAGGUGUGAGCACCUACCUGAGCCCGCCCAGCCCUCUUGACCUGUACGUCCACAAGUCGCCCAAGAUCACCUGCCUGGUGGUGGACCUGGCCAACACAGACGGCAUGAUCCUGACCUGGUCGCGGGAGAAUGGGGAGUCUGUGCACCCAGACCCGAUGGUCAAGAAGACUCAGUACAACGGGACAAUCACCGUCACUUCCACCCUGCCUGUGGAUGCCACUGACUGGGUUGAGGGGGAGACCUACCAAUGCAAGGUGACCCAUCCGGACCUGCCCAAGGACAUCGUGCGCUCCAUUGCCAAAGCCCCCGGCCGGCGUUUCCCCCCGGAGGUGUACGUGUUCCUGCCGCCCGAGGGGGAGCCGAAGACCAAGGACAAAGUCACUCUCACGUGCCUGAUCCAGAACUUCUUUCCCCCGGACAUCUCGGUGCAAUGGCUUCACAACGACAGCCCUGUUCGGACGGAACAGCAGGCCACCACGUGGCCCCACAAGGCCACCGGCCCCAGCCCAGCCUUCUUUGUCUUCAGUCGCCUUGAGGUCAGCCGGGCAGACUGGGAGCAGAGGGAUGUGUUCACCUGCCAAGUGGUGCACGAGGCGCUGCCUGGCUCUAGGACGCUCAAGAAAUCCGUGUCCAAAAACCCUGGUAAAUGAUGCCCACCCCUCCCCCCAGAGCUCCAUCCUGCUGGGGCGGGGGAGGGGCCGGCCGGACCUGCCGGUCUGUUGUUGUCAAUAAACACUGCAGUGCCUGCCUCAGA